GGUAAAAAAGCUCGUAGUUGGAUUUCUGUCGAGGACGACCGGUCCAUACAAUGUAUGUGCAUCUGGUUCGGCUUCGGCAUCCUCUCGAAAGACGUUUCUGUGCUUGAUUGCAUGGAGCGGAUCUCGGGACUUUUACUUUGAGGAAAUUAGAGUGUUCACGGCAGGCACGCGCCAGAAUACAUUAGCAUGGAAUAAUACUAUAGGAUUUCGGUUCUAUUUUGUUGGUUUCUAGAAUUGAAAUAAUGAUUAAUAGGGACAAUUGGGGGCAUUCGUAUCAAGGCGUCAGAGGUGGAAUUCUUGGAUUGCCUUGCGACGAACUACUGCGAAAGCAUUUGCCAAGGAUGUUUUCAUUGAUCAAGAACGAAAGUAAGGGGAUCGAAGACGAUUAGAUACCGUCGUAGUCUUUACCACAAACUAUGCCGACUAGAGAUGGGAAAUCGUUCUUUUUAGACUUUUUCCGCACCUUAUGAGAUAUCAAAGUUUUUGGGUUCCGGGGGGAGUAUGAGCGCAAGCUUGGAACUUAAAGGAAUUGACGGAAGGGCACCACCAGGAGUGGAGCCUGCGGCUUAAUUUGACUCAACACGGGGAAACUCACCCGGCCCGGACACAGUGAGGAUUGACAGAUUGAGAG
rnacentral:rRNA from 1 species